ACUCGAGUGUGACCCCCCAGCACUCCUGUUGGGCAGCUCAUUGCCCUCUGUGACCCGGGUUCCAGGAAGUUCUGACGCCUCUGACCUCCAAAAGCACCUGCGUUGACGUGUACACAUCUGCACACAGACACAUCCACACAUACAUGCUUUGACUUUUUGGUGGUGAUAGGGUAUGGACAAGCAUCUCAAAUCUGAGCCAAGCGCGGGCUUUCUUCAGCUCCUCUCAGCUCCUACGUCACUCAGAAGUGUGCCUCAUAAUUAGAAUGUGAGAAACCCUCACACACCAAUUUGGGCUUUGAUAUUUGUUCCAAGGGACACUUAAAAUAAAUCCUGAA